rnacentral:rRNA from 1 species
AGCAGCCGCGGUAAUUCCAGCUCCAAUAGCGUAUAUUAAAGUUGUUGCAGUUAAAAAGCUCGUAGUUGAAUUUCGGGAUCAAUAUGUCGGUCGUGCCUUCGGUACGUACUGGUAUCAUUGGUCUCUCCUUUCUGACGAACCAUGAUGUCAUUAAUUUGGUGUUAUGGGGAGUUAGGACUGUUACUUUGAAAAAAUUAGAGUGUUUAAAGCAGGCUUUAGCUUGAAUACAUUAGCAUGGAAUAAUGAAAUAGGACGUUCGAACCUAUUUUGUUGGUUUCUAGGAUCAACGUAAUGAUUAAUAGGGAUAGUUGGGGGCAUUAGUAUUCAAUUGUCAGAGGUGAAAUUCUUGGAUUUAUUGAAGACUAACUACUGCGAAAGCAUUUGCCAAGGAUGUUUUCAUUAAUCAAGAACGAAAGUUAGGGGAUCGAAGACGGUCAGAUACCGUCGUAGUCUUAACCAUAAACUAUGCCGACUAGGGAUCGGAUGAUGUUAAUUUUUUAAUGACUCAUUCGGCGCCUUACG